ensembl:snRNA U6 U6 spliceosomal RNA
GUGCUCAAUUUGGCAGCAUGUAUACUAAAAUUGGAAUGAUACAGAAAAAAUUAGCAUGACUGCUGCACAAGGAUGACAUGCAAAUUCAGAAAGCAUCCCAUAUUCAG